rnacentral:rRNA from 1 species
GACGAACGCUGGCGGCGUGCCUAAUACAUGCAAGUCGAACGCAGUGGGGACGGGUGAGUAACACGUGGGUAACCUCCCAUCAGAGGGGAUAACACUUGGAAACAGGUGCUAAACCGAUCUAUUGGCGCGGCCGAUAUCGGAUUAGCUCGUUGGUGGGGUAACGGCGCACCACGGCCACGAUGCAUAGCCGACCUGAGAGGGUGAUCGGCCAGACGGGGACUGAGACACGGUCCAGACUCCUACGGGAGGCAGCAGUAGGGAAUCGUCGGCAAUGGACGAAAGUCUGACCGAGCAACGCCGCGUGAGUGAAGAAGGUUUUCGGAUCGUAAAACUCUGUUGUUAGAGAAGCGGUAUCUAACCAGAAAGCCACGGCUAACUACGUGCCAGCAGCCGCGGUAAUAC